GACGAACGCUGGCGGCGGGCUUAACACAUGCAAGUCGAACGAGAAACUCUAGCUUGCUGGAGUGGAAAGUGGCGAACGGGUGCGUAACGCGUAGGCAACCUGCCCCUUAGUACGGAAUAACUUCGGGAAACCGACGCUAAUACCGUAUGACGUCUCAGGAUCGCAUGAUCUUGAGAUGAAAGCCUUCGGGCGCUAAGGGAUGGGCCUGCGUCGGAUUAGGUUGUUGGUGAGGUAACGGCUCACCAAGCCAACGAUCCGUAGCUGGUCUGAGAGGAUGAUCAGCCACACUGGCACUGAGACACGGGCCAGACUCCUACGGGAGGCAGCAGUGAGGAAUAUUGCGCAAUGGGGGAAACCCUGACGCAGCCACGCCGCGUGGAGGAUGACACCGUUAUGCGGCGUAAACUCCUUUUAUAUGAAAAGAAAACC
rnacentral:rRNA from 1 species